AGUGAACGCUGGCGGUAGGCCUAACACAUGCAAGUCGAACGGCAGCACAGUAAGAGCUUGCUCUUACGGGUGGCGAGUGGCGGACGGGUGAGGAAUACAUCGGAACCUACUUUUUCGUGGGGGAUAACGUAGGGAAACUUACGCUAAUACCGCAUACGACCUACGGGUGAAAGCAGGGGAUCUUCGGACCUUGCGCGAUUGAAUGAGCCGAUGUCGGAUUAGCUAGUUGGCGGGGUAAAGGCCCACCAAGGCGACGAUCCGUAGCUGGCCUGAGAGGAUGAUCAGCAAAACUGGAACUGAGAAACGUUCCAGACUCCAACGGGAGGAAGCGGUGGGGAAUAUUGGACAAUGGGCGAAAGCCUAAUCCAGCAAUACCGCGUGGGUGAAGAAGGCCUUCGGGUUGUAAAGCCCUUUUGUUGGGAAAGAAAAGCAGCAGGUUAAUCCCCCGCUGUUCUGACGGUACCCAAAGAAUAAGCACCGGCUAACUUCGUG
rnacentral:rRNA from 1 species